UGGUGGCUCUAAUGGUAAAGAAUCUGCCUGCAGUGCAGGAGACCUGGGUUCGAUCCCUAGGUCAGCAA
rnacentral:tRNA from 1 species